GUGAACGCUGGCGGUAGGCCUAACUCAUGCCAGUCGAACGGCAGCACAGUAAGAGCUUGCUCUUACGGGUGGCGAGUGGCGGACGGGUGAGGAAUACAUCGGAAUCUACUUUUUCGUGGGGGAUCACGUAGGGAAACUUACGCUAAUACCGCAUACGACCUACGGGUGAAAGCAGGGGAUCUUCGGACCUUGCGCGAUUGAAUGAGCCGAUGUCGGAUUAGCUAGUUGGCGGGGUAAAGGCACACCAAGGCGACGAUCCGUAGCUGGUCUGAGAGGAUGAUCAGCCACACUGGAACUGAGACACGGUCCAGACUCCUACGGGAGGCAGCAGUGGGGAAUAUUGGACAAUGGGCGCAAGCCUGAUCCAGCCAUACCGCGUGGGUGAAGAAGGCCUUCGGGUUGUAAAGCCCUUUUGUUGGGAAAGAAAAGCAGCAGGUUAAUACCCCGCUGUUCUGACGGUACCCAAAGAAUAAGCACCGGCUAACUUCGUG
rnacentral:rRNA from 1 species